GACGAACGCUGGCGGCGUGCUUAACACAUGCAAGUCGAACGGAGUGGCGAACGGGUGAGUAACACGUGGGUAAUCUGCCUUGCACUUCGGGAUAAGCUUGGGAAACUGGGUCUAAUACCUGAUAGUGCAAGAUGCGCGCUGGGCCUAUCAGCUUGUUGGUGGGGUAAUGGCCUACCAAGGCGUCGACGGGUAGCCGGCCUGAGAGGGGGUACGGCCACAUUGCGACUGAGGUACGUCCCAGAGUCGUACGGGAGGCAGCAGUGGCGAAUAUUGCACAAUGGGCGGAAGCCUGAUGGAGCGACGUCUGGUGGGGGAUGAAGGCCUGCGGGUUGUAAACUCUUUUCGACAGGGACGCGGUACCUGUAUAAGAAGCACCGGCUAACUACGUGCCAGCAGCCGCGGUAAUAC
rnacentral:rRNA from 1 species